rnacentral:rRNA from 1 species
UACGUAGGGUGCAAGCGUUAAUCGGAAUUACUGGGCGUAAAGCGUGCGCAGGCGGUUAUGUAAGACAGGUGUGAAAUCCCCGGGCUUAACCUGGGAACUGCAUUUGUGACUGCAUAGCUAGAGUACGGCAGAGGGGGAUGGAAUUCCGCGUGUAGCAGUGAAAUGCGUAGAUAUGCGGAGGAACACCGAUGGCGAAGGCAAUCCCCUGGGCCUGUACUGACGCUCAUGCACGAAAGCGUGGGGAGCAAACAGG